AUCUCCAGUUCCAUCCGUGCUGUCACAAAGGUUAGGUUCUGAGCUUGGUGCUGGAGUUAUAAUAAGACAUGAUUCCUCCCUCAAGAAGUUUACAAUUUGGAGCAGAGAGAGACAAACAUGUAUACAAACAGGUAUCAAAGGUUAUAAAUGAUCAAUGCUAUAAAAACAACAAAGAGCUGGGGGAACAACAAAGAGGAGAAAUGUGUUUGUCAGAGAGGGAGAAGAAUUUAUGGAAGGGGUUAUAUUGAGCUAGCUCUUCAAAGAUAAGAUAGGAUUUAGAUGAAUGGAGAGAAGUUUUCUUGGCAGAAUUGCAUGAACAAUGACACUGAGAUGUCAUGAAAAUGUGUAGUAAAUUCAGCAACAGCCAGUAGACUGUAUGGUCAGAGAGUGGGAGCCAGAGAUAGGGUUGGGGGCAGCAGGCAAUCAGUGAGCAUUAAGUGAAGGCUUACCCAGUGACAGGCAUCAUGGCCUAGAAGAUCACAGGGCUUUAUGAGCCAUGUGUGGUUUGUCUUACAAUGAGGAACCUUCAGAGAUAUCUUAGUCCCUAUUUGCAGAAGGAUGGUGCACACAGCAAGCUUUUGGUAAAUGCUUGGUGAAAUAAAUUGUACUGGAUGGUGGUAAAAAGAGUGUGUCUGGAGGCAAGUCCUAGACAGGUACAAAUAGAUAUGAAGUAGACAUCCUAGCAAUGGCAUAGUCCAAAUGUAGUUGAUACCUAGAAGGAAUGAGUAGGCAGAAUAUUGAAGACACAUGGCUUGUUUUAGAAUCAUUGAAAACUAUGAGGACAAGUAGGGAAGCAGUUUCUCUCUAUCCAGGACCUCUGUCCCACAAAGUUUGAACAUAACAAGUAUAAAGCUUCUUGGUGAAGGAUCUUAUGCCCAAGUCAGUGGGGAGGAGGAGAUCAACCCCUGAGCUAGGACAGAAAAGUGUCAUGCUGGGCUGGAGGGAUGUGCAUUCCACAUUACUGUCUAAGGAUAUGGGGGAGAUCACAUAUACCCAGUGAAAGCCAAAUUCAUAGCUUCCUGGCCUGACCCUUAUGAGUGCACCUGAAGCUGGGUUUUGCCCUCUCCCAUGGAUUUAGAAGGUUUUGUUCAGGGACACACAAAGCUAUCUAUACCUGUGCUAGGAUAGGUAUGCAGGGCAUGCAAAAGUGACAUCAUCACUACUACAGGCUCUGAAAAGAUCCAGGUGAUUGGACUACAAUCCACCACAAUUUCACCUUUCCAGAGCGUUAUAGAAUGUAUAAGCUUACAAAGCAACAGAUGUGGAUAUAAGCCUCAGUGUUUCCCCAGUGGUGUCACCAAUUCAUCUAUUGACAGCUAUGGCUAAUGAAUCUUUAUGCAAAGCAUAGAGUGUGAAAAGAUAGACCAGUGUAGGGGAGACAGAGGACAGUAGGCCAGA